rnacentral:tRNA from 1 species
GCCGGAGUGGUGAAACUGGUCAAACACAGCGGACUUAAAAUCCGCCGGCGAAAGCCCUGCGGGUUCGAGUCCCGCCUCCGGCA